rnacentral:snRNA from 1 species
CUGCUUCAAUCACCAACACAUACACUCACACUGAAAUAAUCAAGGAAGACUAGCAUGGUCCCUAAGUGAGGGUGACAGGCAAAUUUGUGAAAUAAUCUAGUUUUAC